rnacentral:rRNA from 1 species
GAUGAACGCUGGCGGCGUGCCUAAUACAUGCAAGUCGAGCGAACGGACGAGAAGCUUGCUUCUCUGAUGUUAGCGGCGGACGGGUGAGUAACACGUGGAUAACCUACCUAUAAGACUGGGAUAACUUCGGGAAACCGUAGCUAAUACCGGAUAAUAUUUUGAACCGCAUGGUUCAAAAGUGAAAGACGGUCUUGCUGUCACUUAUAGAUGGAUCCGCGCUGCAUUAGCUAGUUGGUAAGGUAACGGCUUACCAAGGCAACGAUGCAUAGCCGACCUGAGAGGGUGAUCGGCCACACUGGAACUGAGACACGGUCCAGACUCCUACGGGAGGCAGCAGUAGGGAAUCUUCCGCAAUGGGCGAAAGCCUGACGGAGCAACACAGCGUGAGUGAUGAAGGUCUUCGGAUCGUAAAACUCUGUUAUUAGGGAAGAACAUAUGUGUAAGUAACUGUGCACAUCUUGACGGUACCUAAUCAGAAAGCCACGGCUAACUACGUG